rnacentral:rRNA from 1 species
AUUGAACGCUGGCGGAAUGCUUUACACAUGCAAGUCGAGCGGCAGCGCGGGGCAACCUGGCGGCGAGCGGCGAACGGGUGAGUAACACAUCGGAACGUGCCCAGACGUGGGGGAUAGCCCGGCGAAAGCCGGAUUAAUACCGCAUACGAUCUAAGGAUGAAAGCGGGGGACUCGCAAGGGCCUCGCGCGUUUGGAGCGGCCGAUGGCAGAUUAGGUAGUUGGUGGGGUAAAGGCUUACCAAGCCUGCGAUCUGUAGCUGGUCUGAGAGGAUGAUCAGCCACACUGGGACUGAGACACGGCCCAGACUCCUACGGGAGGCAGCAGUGGGGAAUAUUGCGCAAUGGGCGAAAGCCUGACGCAGCCAACCCGCGUGUGUGAUGAAGGCCUCGGUUGUAAGACGACUGUCGUGAGGGAAGAAGAUACUGACGGUACCGUCACAAGAAAGACACCGG